UACGUAGGGGGCUAGCGUUGUCCGGAAUCAUUGGGCGUAAAGCGCGUGUAGGCGGUUCGGUAAGUCCGCUGUGAAAGUCGGGGGCUCAACCCUCGAAUGCCGGUGGAUACUGUCGGACUAGAGUACGGAAGAGGCGAGUGGAAUUCCUGGUGUAGCGGUGAAAUGCGCAGAUAUCAGGAGGAACACCAAUUGCGAAGGCAGCUCGCUGGGACGUUACUGACGCUGAGACGCGAAAGCGUGGGGAGCAGACAGG
rnacentral:rRNA from 1 species